UUAUCCAUUUUAGACAAUCUAGAUUAUUGUUACUGAAAUCAUGAUCAUGGCAUGCUCAACUCUUACUCUUGAGUCGUCUUGACUCAUAAUUCUAAUUCUAGUCAUAAGGCGAUAAGGUAAAACAAUGUUGAAGUUCUCCAUUUUGAAUGAGUCUAUCAUUUAGUCUAUGCUUCUUACCAUCUGGGACAUCUUUAUAUUAUGAUCUCUUUGAUUUGGUUUGGUCAAUACUUACCAAUAAAUUAGACUAGAUGUAGAUUUGUCUAUUAAUAAUAAUAAUAAUAAUCUUUAUUAUCCGUAAGGAAAUUUGUCUUACAAUUUGUGCAUUACACCAAACAAAAAACAUUAUAACUAUAAGAAACCAAAGUGUACAUUCACACCAGACUCACUCAUAAUUUACAUGUGACAAAGUUUAUACCAGAUUGUUCUUAUUUAAUGAUUUGAUUGCCAGGGGAACAAAAGAGUGUUUGUGUCUGUUUGUCUUUGCUAUCGGUGUCUUGUAUCUCUUUUGUGAUGGUAAAAUCACAAAGUCCUGACACAAAGGGUGAUUCUUUAUAAUUUAUUUCGAGGAUCUUGUUAGCUUUUUUAUAGAUGUUUGUCUCAAACAACUGCCCAAAUGGGGUUUGUUUUUUGCCAAUGAUUUUGCCAGCAGCAUUUAGGAUUCUAUUAAGUUUAUUUUUAUUUUUAAUGCUCAGAUUGCCAUACCAGGCAGUGAUAUUGAAACUUAAAAUAUUGCAGAUGUGAGCGUGAUAAAACAUAGCCAAGGCCUUUUCGCUAACAUUAAACGAGGACAGUUUUCUUAGUAGUCGUAAUCUUUGCUGCCCUUUUUUGCUGAUAUAAUCAGUAUUUGCAGUAAAAUUUAGUUUAUUGUCUAGGAUAGUACCAAGGUAUUUAAAGGUUUGCACAAUUUCAAUAGUCUCUCCAGCUACAGAAACAAUAUCAUUUCCCUUCUUGUCCCUACGAAAAUCGAUUAUCAUUUCUUUGUUUUUUUUUACAUUUAAUAAUAAAAAAUUAUCUUUACAGUAUUCCUCAAUGUGUUCUAGUUCUUUGAAAUUCUCAUUUACGUCUGAGCUCUCUGAGAGCAGGGCAAGAAGAGCCGCAUCAUCAGCGAAUUUUGUGAAGGAGCAACAAUAACUAUCGGAUUGAAAAUCAUUGGUGUACAAAAUGAACCACAAUGGCGAUGUUACAGCCCCCUGGGGCGCCCCUGUGUUAACUAUGCGUUCAUUAGAUAUAACUAGAUACUUCGAUUUUCCGGUCGCGCGAGAUUUUUUUGGUUACCGGAACCGGUAGUAUUCGUGCGGCAGUAUUUAAGCCGAAAGCAGUGGUAAUUUCGUUCCAGUCUGGUUUUGUCUUCAAAAUCAGACACCAAAGGAUAAUCGGAGCCCUUUGUUUGUUCAAGGAUCGGAUAUCAGUUAAUUCUUUGGAUUUAUAUCAGUGCUUUUCUAUCGUCUUCAUGGAGUUCCAGCGUGUUGAGCAUAGGGGUAAGUUGACCAUCCAUAGUUUUUUUAUUAUUCUAAUAAGCAUAGUUAUUUAAGUCAUCCCAAGUACCUUAAUAUCUAAUCUAACUAUUUUUGUUCAUAUUAUCGCAAUAAGUGUUCCACUUUUUUAGUAAAAACGGACCCACUGCAUCAGGUAUCUUGGCUAGAAAACGAAACUAGCCGCCAUUACUAACCGGAAAUGAUAGAUUCAAUGGUUAUCAAUGGCUGCAUAGCUUUUUUGUUAGAUCGAUUUUUUUAAAAUCCAUCAUCAAGAACAGUUUUAUUUAGUCAUCCGUGAUUUUGAAUAUAAUGUGGGCGUGGCAGGCCUUGAUGUCGAUGUUGUUGACAAUAAGUUUUGAAGGCAUAUGUCCGAGGUGAAGAACUUUUGUAGGAAGAUUACCCGCAGCUGGCACCUAUUUGCACCUUACUUGGAUAAAAAAAUUUCUAUCGAUGCUGCUGGCAAAAAGACACCUAUCCAAGACAGCACUGAACGACCUAGUAUGGUGAAGAAGUUGCGACCUGAAGGUGAUGUUGAGGCUACUGAAAGGCAGGUAACACAGAACAACACUGUGCUUGUUGUUGCAGAAAAGCGGUUAGUCUUUUAAGGGCUUUUUGGCAAGAUGUUGACUGGACCGUGGAUGACACUGAUCUACAAAAUGAAAGAUGAAACAUUUUAAAGAUACCAUUUAUGCAGCUAUUAUAUUUAUUCUCUUGUUUUCUAGAUCUCUCAUGUGAAGGUCUGCAUUGACAAACUAAAGGCCAUUGUGGAUUCUCCAGAGAAUCUCCUUUCAAUACUAAUUGAUUGCUUUGGCCAGACUCUGGAUACUGAAGAUCUCGUUCUGAAAACCCUGAGAAAUGUGACUGUUGAUGAAGUAUUUAUCGAGAUCACUAAAGAACUUGCUGAAGGUUUUUGUAAGGUGCUACAGAGACAGUACUUCAAUUGAUAAUUUCCAACUACAAACAAAUCCAUUAUGUGCUUACCCAUCAAAUAGUUAGAUAUAUUUUAUUUUAAGGGAACAUGUUGCAUAUCUGGGAUAUUUAUUUAAUGUGAAAAAUAUAAUUUCACAAUCCAGCUGAUAAUUGUGCUAUGAACCAUUUAUAUUAAGUCUUGAUAAUUUUACCUUUUCAGCAAGCCUACAUUGGUAUGCAUUAAAAUUAUUUAUUCUAUUUCAGCAAAACAGAUAGGGUACACCCAAACAAUGUUCAUCUUCAAACAAUCAUGCAUGAUCCUCGCAAGCUUUGGAUACUGACGUACAUUUGCAAACGCACUCAGACUGAUGACAUCAAGAAAUCUAUAUUUGUUAUUUACAUUAUAU